rnacentral:rRNA from 1 species
UCGGGAAUUUUGGGCAAUGGGCGAAAGCCUGACCCAGCAACGCCGCGUGAAGGAUGAAGUAUUUCGGUAUGUAAACUUCGUAAGAAUAGGAAGAAUAAAUGACGGUACUAUUUGUAAGGUCCGGCUAACUACGCGCCAGCAGCCGCGGUAAUACGUAGGGACCAAGCGUUGUUCGGAUUUACUGGGCGUAAAGGGCGCGUAGGCGGUGUGUCAAGUCAGUUGUGAAAUCUCCGAGCUUAACUCGGAACGGUCAACUGAUACUGUCACACUAGAGUACAGAAGGGGCAAUCGGAAUUCUUGGUGUAGCGGUGAAAUGCGUAGAUAUCAAGAGGAACACCUGAGGCGAAGGCGGGUUGCUGGGCUGAUACUGACGCUGAGGCGCGAAAGCUAGGGUAGCAAACGGGAUUAGAUACCCUCGUAGUCCCUGAGCGGGCUGGCAAGGCGCAU